rnacentral:rRNA from 1 species
UACGUAGGGGGCAAGCGUUGUCCGGAUUUAUUGGGCGUAAAGAGCGUGUAGGCGGCCAUACAGGUCAGCUGUGAAAACUCGAGGCUCAACCUCGAGACGUCGGUUGAAACCGUAUGGCUAGAGUCCGGAAGAGGAGAGUGGAAUUCCCGGUGUAGCGGUGAAAUGCGCAGAUAUCGGGAAGAACACCCACGGCGAAGGCAGCUCUCUGGGACGGUACUGACGCUGAGACGCGAAAGCGUGGGGAGCGAACAGG